GUAGGCCGGUACUCCGAAUGCUCUAGAUUAGAGUUUGAUCAUGGCUCAGCCUUGAACGCUGGCGGCAGGCCUAACACAUGCAAGUCGAACGGUAACAGGAAGCAGCUUGCUGCUUUGCUGACGAGUGGCGGACGGGUGGGUAAUGUCUGGGAAACUGCCUGAUGGAGGGGGAUAACUACUGGAAACGGUAGCUAAUACCGCAAAACGUCGCAAGACCAAAGAGGGGGACCUUCGGGCCUCUUGCCAUCGGAUGUGCCCAGAUGGGAUUAGCUAGUAGGUGGGGUAACGGCUCACCUAGGCGACGAUCCCUAGCUGGUCUGAGAGGAUGACCAGCCACACUGGAACUGAGACACGGUCCAGACUCCUACGGGAGGCAGCAGUGGGGAAUAUUGCACAAUGGGCGCAAGCCUGAUGCAGCCAUGCCGCGUGUAUGAAGAAGGCCUUCGGGUUGUAAAGUACUUUCAGCGGGGAGGAAGGCGAUAAGGUUAAUAACCUUGUCGAUUGACGUU
rnacentral:rRNA from 1 species